UCCUACGGGAGGCAGCAGUGGGGAAUUUUGGACAAUGGGCGAAAGCCUGAUCCAGCAACGCCGCGUGAGGGAUGAAGGCCUGAGGGUCGUAAACCUCUUUUAUAAGGGACGAAACCCCGCAAGGGUCUGACGGUACCUUAUGAAUAAGCCCCGGCUAAAUAUGUGCCAGCAGCCGCGGUAAU
rnacentral:rRNA from 1 species